rnacentral:ribozyme from 13 species
AAAAGAACACAGAAAAGAAAAACACUUCUCCUCUCCGCUCCUCUCCUCUUUCUCUUCUUCUCCUUUCACUUCCUCUCUCUCUCUUUUGGGUGGUGUUGUUCCCACAAUGGGAAACUGUGCGGGAGGAGAACAGAAUAAAGAGGAAGUUGCCAAACACCGCGAAAUUGAACAGCGGAUUCGAGAACAAAAGAAAGUUCUCGCAACAGAAACAAAGAUUUUAUUAUUGGGAGCUGGUGAUACAGGAAAGAGUACACUGAUUAAACAAAUUAAAUUGAUAUACAAAACUGGU